rnacentral:misc_RNA from 1 species
GAUGAAGAACGUAGCGAAAUGCGAUAAGUAAUGCGAAUUGCAGAAUUCAGUGAGUCAUCGAAUCUUUGAACGCACAUUGCGCCCUGUGGUAUUCCGCAGGGCAUGCCUGUUCGAGCGUCAUUUCAACCCUCAAGCUCCGCUUGGUGUUGGGCCCUGCCCCCGCGGCCGGCCCCAAAGACAGUGGCGGCGCCGCUCGGCCCUAAGCGUAGUACAUCUCUCGCUCUAGGACCCGGCGGUGGCCUGCCAGAACCCCCAACUCAUGUGGUUGACCUCGUAUCAGGUAGGGAUACCCGCUGAACUUAAGCAUAUCAAUAAGCGGAGGA